GGGUUAUGUGCGGGCAAGUAUUGAGGCAGUUCCGAUAGGCAAAUCCGUCGGAAUAAUGCUGGGGUACGAUGCGGAGCGAAAUUUAGUAGCGAAGUAGCUGAUUUCACACUGUCGAGAAAAGUCUCUAUUGAGGUCAAAGGUGCCUGUACCGCAAACCGACACAGGUGGGUGAGGAGAGUAUCCUAAGGCCAGCGAGAGAACUGUUGUUAAGGAACUCGGCAAAAUGACCCCGUAACUUAGGGAGAAGGGGUGCCUUCGAAAGAAGGCCGCAGAGAAUAGGCCCAAGCGACUGUUUACCAAAAACAUAGGUUUCUGCUAAGUCGCAAGACGAUGUAUAGGAGCUGACGCCUGCCCGGUGCUGGAAGGUUAAGGGGAUCUGUUAGAGCAAUCGAAGCAGUGAACUUAAGCCCCAGUAAACGGCGGCCGUAACAAUAACGGUCCUAAGGUAGCGAAAUUCCUUGUCGGGUAAGUUCCGACCCGCACGAAAGGCGUAACGAUUUGGGCACUGUCUCAACAACAGACUCGGUGAAAUUGUAAUACCGGUGAAGAUGCCGGUUACCUGCGACAGGACGGAAAGACCCCAUGGAGCUUUACUGUAGCUUGACAUUGAGUCUCGGUGCUACAUGUACAGGAUAGGUGGAGACUAUGAAGCAUGGACGUCAGUCUGUGUGGAGUCAUCCUUGGGAUACCACCCUUGUAGUACUGGGAUUCUAACCAGAGGCCAUGAAUCUGGUCUUGGGACACUGUCAGGUGGACAGUUUGACUGGGGCGGUCGCCUCCCAAAAAGUAACGGAGGCGCUCAAAGGUUCUCUCAGUACGGUCGGAAAUCGUACGAAGAGUGUAAAGGCAAAAGAGAGCUUGAUUGCAAGACAUACAGGUCGAGCAAGGACGAAAGUCGGACUUAGUGAUCCGGUGGUUCCGCAUGGAAGGGCCAUCGCUCAACGGAUAAAAGCUACCCUGGGGAUAACAGGCUGAUCUCCCCCAAGAGUCCACAUCGACGGGGAGGUUUAGCACCUCGAUGUCGGCUCAUCACAUCCUGGGGCUGUAGUAGGUCCCAAGGGUUGGGCUGUUCGCCCAUUAAAGUGGUACGCGAGCUGGGUUCAGAACGUCGUGAGACAGUUCGGUCCCUAUCCGUCGCAGGCGUAGGAAAUUUGAGGAGACCUGUCCUUAGUACGAGAGGACCGGGAUGGACGUACCGCUGGUGUACCAGUUGUUCUGCCAAGGGCAUGGCUGGGUAGCUGAGUACGGAAAGGAUAAGCGCUGAAAGCAUCUAAGCGCGAAGCCCACUUCAAGAUAAGAUUUCCCACCGCAAGGCUAAGAUCCCAGGAAGACUACCUGGUUGAUAGGUCAGAGGUGUAAGUGCAGUAAUGUAUUUAGCUUACUGAUACUAAUAGAUCGAGGACUUGACCAA
rnacentral:rRNA from 1 species